rnacentral:rRNA from 1 species
UACGUAGGGGGCAAGCGUUGUCCGGAUUCAUUGGGCGUAAAGAGCGUGUAGGCGGCCAGGUAGGUCGGUUGUGAAAACUGGAGGCUCAACCUUCAGACGUCGACCGAAACCAUCUGGCUAGAGUCCGGGAGAGGAGAGUGGAAUUCCUGGUGUAGCGGUGAAAUGCACAGAUAUCAGGGAGAACACCCGUGGCGAAAGCGGCUCUCUGGAACGGUACUGACGCUGAGACGCGAAAGCGUGGGGAGCGAACAGG